AUGCUGCUGCUGCUGGCAGAGGAGGAUGUGUCGAAGUUCUCCAUGUGGCCUUGUGUGCCACGCCACUGUCACUUUGUACCCAAUGCUCACAUGCUGCUGCUGCUGGCAGAGGAGGAUGUGUCGUGCUGGACUCUGCUCCCCAAAUUCACCUGUUCCCUGGUCCAGGCAGCGCUGACUCAGCCAGCCUCGGUGUCAGCCAACCCGGGAGGAACAACGGUGAUCGACUGGAAUGACAAUCGACCCUCGCACAUCCCUUCGCGAUUCUCCGGGUCCAAGUCCGGCUCCACGGGCACGUUGACCAUCGCUGGGGUCCAAGCCGAGGACGAGGCUGUCUAUUACUGUGGUGGCUGGGACAGCAGCAGUGUUAAACUCAUGGGGACAUUGCGCCCUGAGCCAUCAAGGCCUUAA